GUGGCUCUUACAGUCUCAGCCAUGGUUGCAUACCUUCCAAGCUCCACCGCCUCUUCUUCCUCGUGGGCAGAUCCCUGAUUUUGUGUAGGACAGCACUUGAAAUGUAUUUGUGUGCUCAACAUUGGUUUCCUCUCUGGAACCUGGGAUCACUUCAGGGGUGGACACGUGGCCCAACCAUGACUGAUGAGACAUGCGGGGAAAUCUGCAGAGGCAACUUCUAGGAAAGGUUGGGCUCUUGCAGCCACCCUGUGACUAUGAGGACUAUGAAGGGCUGAAGAUUUACUCUACUUGAGAACGAACCAGGUUUUUGUAAGCUCCAGACAUUGGAUAAAGCAUUUUGAGGGAUAGGUGAAAACGAAAUCCUGCCCUUUACUCUUGAGAACUCACUCUGCUGUGGGAGGAGAGACAGGCAGGUAUAUCAAAGGGAAAAAUAGUAACAGUUCUGGUGGAGAGACCUGGUGAGCAACACCUUAAACCAAGUGAUGAAAGCUGAAAUCAGCAACACUGGGAUGAACCUGCAUCACGUAAUAGCGGAUGUGAUGCCCUGACAAGAGCACCAGUCCUGUUUGCAGCAUCACUGCCCCAGAUGCAUGCCUGAAUCUGUUCCUUAGGAUACAUCAGGAAACCCAAGCUGAGGAAUGUUCUACUAAAUAAAUGAUCUCUACUCUUCAAAAACAUGCGGGUCAAGUGACAGGUGCCGAGGAGAGGGAGAGGGUCUAGGAAGACCCUAGUUGGGACAAUUGGCAGCAUUCAAAUGUGGCCUGUGCAUUUCAUACUGGUACUGUUCAAUGUGAAAUUUCUUGAUUUUUGUAAGAUUCUCCCUGGGGCCUGAUAGCUUAAAGGGAUGAGUAACUCCUCCCUUCUCAGGCCCAGUCCCAAGGUGCAAGACCACUUGCAUCAGCAGCCUGUGCCAGCAAGAUAGCAGAAGCAGGAAGAGAGCCGGCCAGAAGACACGUACCCCUGAAGAUUGAGAAACAGGCCAUCCGGGUACAACGUAGCAAUUACGUCAGACUAGGACACUUCCUGUUUAAAGGAGACUAUAAAACCUUUGUCCUGUCCUCACUUGGGGCUGACGCCAUUUUAGGCCUCAGCCCGCCUGCACCCAGGCGCUCAUUAAAACAGCAUGUUGCUCCACAUCGCCUCGUGUUGUCUGUUGGCACGCUCUCGGGAUUCGAACCGAUACAAGAACCUUACAAUUUUCUUUAUGUAAGAGAAUGUCCUUGUUCUUAAGAAAAGCCAGCUGAAAUAUUUAGAGAGUAAGUUUGCAGGAUGUCUAUAACUUACUGUCAAGUGUUUUAGACAGGAAGAGAAUCACAUAAUGGAAAAUGUAAACAAGUGAAUGUGAGAAAGGAGUACAUGAAAGUCUUUGAACUAUUGUUACAACUUUUCUGUGGAAAUUUACUUUUCAAAAGUGCGUAUAGACAUAUAGGAAGAACAAUUUUAGUAACUAACAUAGUUAUUUUUUAGUAGUGAGAUGAUGGGUAGUAUUUCUUUUAAAAAGAUCUGCUUUUCCCCAAAUAUUCUGUAACAAGCAUGAACUAUACUUGAAAUCAGAAAAAAAAUGAAAUGAUAAAGACAAUUGUUUCUUUUCAUACAUACUGCAAUGUAGCACAUGAAACUGAGAUCGGAGAGACCAAAAUAGAUGCCCUUUAUCAACUAAGGUGGACUUUAAGGUUAAGAAAACAGAAAAGUUUUCUUCUCUGGUGGAGCAACUCCUUAAAUUCCUAGGGCUACAAGAAAAGCACACCCUUGCUAAACUCCCUAACAAUAAGAGCUAUCAGGCAAAUUCCUACCUCCGAUUUACAACCCAGACCACCACAACUCUGAUUGGACAGAGGACCUUAGAAACAUUCUUUUCUGAUAAGCAACUGAAGACGUCAAAUCAGUUCCAGCAGCUUACAGAGACUGGGCACACAUUGUGUUUGUCUCCUACAGUUCACUUUUUGAUGGAAAAAGCCACAUUCUACCUUAUUUUUAUGCUGAAACCCCACCCCAAAGGGAGCACGGAAUGCAUGGUAAUACAUCUGUGCCUAUUGUGCGUGUGCUCACCUCCCCUCUCCACAUGCAUAGCUUUCCCCCAAACCUACUGAGUACAUGUAACUCUAUCGUGUGAUACAGGCCCUGUGAGACAUAAAAUCCAUUCUGCCCCUUCCCUCUUCAAAGAGAGAGCGCCAAUGUCAUAUGCUGGAGACAGUCUCUUCCUGGUUUGCAAACUUAUAUUGCCAGUGUAACUGAAAUAAAUCCAUGAACGAGGCACAGGGCUAGUCAAUCCGCCAAGACACCAAUUCACAAAGAGAAGGAGAUUGAAUCCUAGGACCCUGAUCUAGAAGAUGGGAAGGAACCUUAAAUCCAUCUCUCCAAGUGUACAAUUCUCUCUGGGGCCUGAAAGCUUAAGGAGAUGAAUGACUCCUCCCUUCUCAGGCCCAGUCCCAGGGCGCAAGGCCACUUGUGUCAGCAGCGUGCAUCAGCAAGUCAGCAGAAGCAGGAAGAGAGCCGGCCAGAAGACACCUACCCUGGCCGGAAGACAGGUACCCCUGAAGAUCGAGAAAGAGGCCGUCUGUGUACAAUGUAGCAGUUACAUUAUACUAGGACACUUCCUGUUUACAGGAGACUGUAAAACCUAUGCCCCGUCCUCACUUGGGGCUGACUCCAUUUUAGGCCUCAGCCUGCCUGCACGCAGGCACUCAUUAGAACAGCAUAUUGCUCCACACUGCCUCCUGUUGUCUGUUGGCGUGCUCUGGGGGUUUGAACCGAUACAAGAACCUUACACCGAGGAGUUUGGUAUAAGGGAUGUUAACGGUUUUGGAGUGGGCUGAAGUGUGGGGACGGUUGGUUGGUUGAAAAGUGCAGGGUGAAGUCAUGGGAUGGGGAAGUGGUGAAACUGUUUCUCAUGCUGAUUCUGUUCUUCUAUGGGGGUCUUCAUGCUGGUGGGUGUUUAGUAGGAAUCUGGGAUCUGGAAAACACCCUAGGCAGUUCUUAAACAAAAGCCUUAUGAUUCUAACAUCAGAAAUCCUAUUCAUAGGAACAAUAGGGAUGCCAGUGGUCAGUAUCAGUGCUGCAUGACUUUCAGUUACAAGGAAGUGGGUCAAAGUGCAGGCUGAUUAAUGCUUAAUUAUAACUCUAUUUCUGUCCAGAAUUCUUGCUAACCCUGUGAGGAUGGCUUCACCAAUAAAAUACUCCUUUCUACUAUUUAGCCAUCCUAGUGGUCUUUUGAAUGAAAAAGAAAGGCUGAGAAAGAUGGAGUAGGGGCCUGCGGUCCCCCACCCCUCACCCCUCACCCCUCAUUCACUUGCUGGUGCUCCCUUCAGCUCCCUUCAGCCCCCAUCACUGGAGCUAGAUGUCCAUGAGCAUUCUGCAUUUUCUCUUCUUUCUGCUGACUAAAGAGUAUCAUGU